ACUAUCAUUAACUGAAUCCAUAGGUUAAUGAGGCGAACCGGGGGAACUGAAACAUCUAAGUACCCCGAGGAAAAGAAAUCAACCGAGAUUCCCCCAGUAGCGGCGAGCGAACGGGGAGGAGCCCAGAGCCUGAAUCAGCAUGUGUGUUAGUGGAAGCGUCUGGAAAGGCGCGCGAUACAGGGUGACAGCCCCGUACACAAAAGCGCAUGUGCUGUGAGCUCGAUGAGUAGGGCGGGACACGUGGUAUCCUGUCUGAAUAUGGGGGGACCAUCCUCCAAGGCUAAAUACUCCUGACUGACCGAUAGUGAACCAGUACCGUGAGGGAAAGGCGAAAAGAACCCCGGCGAGGGGAGUGAAAAAGAACCUGAAACCGUGUACGUACAAGCAGUGGGAGCACCCUUUGGGUGUGACUGCGUACCUUUUGUAUAAUGGGUCAGCGACUUAUAUUCUGUAGCAAGGUUAACCGAAUAGGGGAGCCGGAGGGAAACCGAGUCUUAACCGGGCGUUAAGUUGCAGGGUAUAGACCCGAAACCCGGUGAUCUAGCCAUGGGCAGGUUGAAGGUUGGGUAACACUAACUGGAGGACCGAACCGACUAAUGUUGAAAAAUUAGCGGAUGACCUGUGGCUGGGGGUGAAAGGCCAAUCAAACCGGGAGAUAGCUGGUUCUCCCCGAAAGCUAUUUAGGUAGCGCCUCGUGAAUUCAUCUCCGGGGGUAGAGCACUGUUUCGGCUAGGGGGCCAUCCCGGCUUACCAACCCGAUGCAAACUGCGAAUACCGGAGAAUGUUAUCACGGGAGACACACGGCGGGUGCUAACGUCCGUCGUGAAGAGGGAAACAACCCAGACCGCCAGCUAAGGUCCCAAAGUCAUGGUUAAGUGGGAAACGAUGUGGGAAGGCCCAGACAGCCAGGAUGUUGGCUUAGAAGCAGCCAUCAUUUAAAGAAAGCGUAAUAGCUCACUGGUCGAGUCGGCCUGCGCGGAAGAUGUAACGGGGCUAAACCAUGCACCGAAGCUGCGGCAGCGACACUGUGUGUUGUUGGGUAGGGGAGCGUUCUGUAAGCCUGUGAAGGUGUGUCGUGAGGCAUGCUGGAGGUAUCAGAAGUGCGAAUGCUGACAUAAGUAACGAUAAAGCGGGUGAAAAGCCCGCUCGCCGGAAGACCAAGGGUUCCUGUCCAACGUUAAUCGGGGCAGGGUGAGUCGACCCCUAAGGCGAGGCCGAAAGGCGUAGUCGAUGGGAAACGGGUUAAUAUUCCCGUACUUGGUGUUACUGCGAAGGGGGGACGGAGAAGGCUAUGUUGGCCGGGCGACGGUUGUCCCGGUUUAAGCGUGUAGGUGUGUGUUCCAGGUAAAUCCGGUUCACUUUAACACUGAGGCGUGACGACGAGGCACUACGGUGCUGAAGCAACAAAUGCCCUGCUUCCAGGAAAAGCCUCUAAGCAUCAGGUAACAUCAAAUCGUACCCCAAACCGACACAGGUGGUCAGGUAGAGAAUACCAAGGCGCUUGAGAGAACUCGGGUGAAGGAACUAGGCAAAAUGGUGCCGUAACUUCGGGAGAAGGCACGCUGACACGUAGGUGAAGUGAUUUACUCAUGGAGCUGAAGUCAGUCGAAGAUACCAGCUGGCUGCAACUGUUUAUUAAAAACACAGCACUGUGCAAACACGAAAGUGGACGUAUACGGUGUGACGCCUGCCCGGUGCCGGAAGGUUAAUUGAUGGGGUCAGCGCAAGCGAAGCUCCUGAUCGAAGCCCCGGUAAACGGCGGCCGUAACUAUAACGGUCCUAAGGUAGCGAAAUUCCUUGUCGGGUAAGUUCCGACCUGCACGAAUGGCGUAAUGAUGGCCAGGCUGUCUCCACCCGAGACUCAGUGAAAUUGAACUCGCUGUGAAGAUGCAGUGUACCCGCGGCAAGACGGAAAGACCCCGUGAACCUUUACUAUAGCUUGACACUGAACAUUGAGCCUUGAUGUGUAGGAUAGGUGGGAGGCUUUGAAGUGUGGACGCCAGUCUGCAUGGAGCCGACCUUGAAAUACCACCCUUUAAUGUUUGAUGUUCUAACGUGGACCCGUUACCCGGGUUGCGGACAGUGUCUGGUGGGUAGUUUGACUGGGGCGGUCUCCUCCUAAAGAGUAACGGAGGAGCACGAAGGUUGGCUAAUCCUGGUCGGACAUCAGGAGGUUAGUGCAAUGGCAUAAGCCAGCUUGACUGCGAGCGUGACGGCGCGAGCAGGUGCGAAAGCAGGUCAUAGUGAUCCGGUGGUUCUGAAUGGAAGGGCCAUCGCUCAACGGAUAAAAGGUACUCCGGGGAUAACAGGCUGAUACCGCCCAAGAGUUCAUAUCGACGGCGGUGUUUGGCACCUCGAUGUCGGCUCAUCACAUCCUGGGGCUGAAGUAGGUCCCAAGGGUAUGGCUGUUCGCCAUUUAAAGUGGUACGCGAGCUGGGUUUAGAACGUCGUGAGACAGUUCGGUCCCUAUCUGCCGUGGGCGCUGGAGAACUGAGGGGGGCUGCUCCUAGUACGAGAGGACCGGAGUGGACGCAUCACUGGUGUUCGGGUUGUCAUGCCAAUGGCACUGCCCGGUAGCUAAAUGCGGAAGAGAUAAGUGCUGAAAGCAUCUAAGCACGAAACUUGCCCCGAG
rnacentral:rRNA from 1 species